rnacentral:rRNA from 1 species
AGCGAACGUUGGCGGCAGGCUUAACACAUGCAAGUCGAACGGUCCUUCGGGAUAGUGGCGGACGGGUGAGUAACACGUGGGAACGUACCCUUAGGUUCGGAACAACACAGGGAAACUUGUGCUAAUACCGGAUAAGCCCUUCGGGGGAAAGAUUUAUCGCCUUUGGAGCGGCCCGCGUCUGAUUAGCUUGUUGGUGAGGUAAUGGCUCACCAAGGCUACGAUCAGUAGCUGGUCUGAGAGGAUGGCCAGCCACACUGGGACUGAGACACGGCCCAGACUCCUACGGGAGGCAGCAGUGGGGAAUCUUGCGCAAUGGGCGAAAGCCUGACGCAGCCAUGCCGCGUGGAUGAUGAAGGUCUUAGGAUUGUAAAAUCCUUUCACCGGGGACGAUAAUGACGGUACCCGGAGAAGAAGCCCCGGCUAACUUCGUGCCAGCAGCCGCGGUAA